AGCCCAUUGUCAUUUAAAUUUAAUUCUUGCUAAGCUGCUUCAGAUCGAACUCGACCAGACAAGACUAAAAACCGGACCGUGACCUAAUAAAAAGGGUUAAUCAAACCUUUGCCCCAUACAUAAUUAAUUAUAGCUUUCGAUCAAAUUAGGACCAAAACCCAUUUAAUUAUAACCUUAGCUUGAUUACAACUCUAUCAGGUUACCAAAUCGGGUCAACACAAUCUCCUCCUUAUAUGUUUUUAUGAAA
rnacentral:lncRNA from 1 species